rnacentral:rRNA from 1 species
GAGACAGCAGUAGCCGCGGUAAUACAGAGGGUGCGAGCGUUAAUCGGAUUUACUGGGCGUAAAGCGUGCGUAGGCGGCUAAUUGAGUCGGAUGUGAAAUCCCCGAGCUUAACUUGGGAAUUGCAUUCGAUACUGGGAAGCUAGAGUAUGGGAGAGGAUGGUAGAAUUCCAGGUGUAGCGGUGAAAUGCGUAGAGAUCUGGAGGAAUACCGAUGGCGAAGGCAGCCAUCUGGCCUAAUACUGACGCUGAGGUACGAAAGCAUGGGGAGCAAACAGGAUUAGAUACCCGGGUAGUCCCUGUCUCUUAUAC